GACGAACGCUGGCGGCGUGCCUAAUACAUGCAAGUUGAGCGCUGAAGGUUGGUACUUGUACCGACUGGAUGAGCAGCGAACGGGUGAGUAACGCGUGGGGAAUCUGCCUUUGAGCGGGGGACAACAUUUGGAAACGAAUGCUAAUACCGCAUAAAAACUUUAAACACAAGUUUUAAGUUUGAAGGAUGCAAUUGCAUCACUCAAAGAUGAUCCCGCGUUGUAUUAGCUAGUUGGUGAGGUAAAGGCUCACCAAGGCGAUGAUACAUAGCCGACCUGAGAGGGUGAUCGGCCACAUUGGGACUGAGACACGGCCCAAACUCCUACGGGAGGCAGCAGUAGGGAAUCUUCGGCAAUGGACGAAAGUCUGACCGAGCAACGCCGCGUGAGUGAAGAAGGUUUUCGGAUCGUAAAACUCUGUUGGUAGAGAAGAACGUUGGUGAGAGUGGAAAGCUCAUCAAGUGACGGUAACUACCCAGAAAGGGACGGCUAACUACGUG
rnacentral:rRNA from 1 species